GACGAACGCUGGCGGCGUGCUUAACACAUGCAAGUCGAGCGAUGAAGUUUCUUCGGAAAUGGAUUAGCGGCGAACGGGUGAGGAACACGUGAAGAAUCUGCCCUCCACUUUGGGAUAACACCGGGAAACCGGUGCUAAUACCGAAUAUUGAAACAUAAGUGGCAUCACUGAGUUUUGAAAGAAUUUCGGUGGAGGAUGACUUCGCGGCCUAUCAGCUAGUUGGUGAGGUAAUGGCUCACCAAGGCAACGACGGGUAGCCGGCCUGAGAGGGCGACCGGCCACACUGGGACUGAGACACGGCCCAGACUCCUACGGGAGGCAGCAGUGGGGAAUAUUGGGCAAUGGAGGAAACUCUGACCCAGCGACGCCGCGUGCGGGAUGAAGGCCUUCGGGUUGUAAACCGCCUUCAGUAGGGAAGAAGCGAAAGUGACGGUACCUACAAAAGAAGCACCGGCUAACUAUGUGCCAGCAGCCGCCGUAAUAC
rnacentral:rRNA from 1 species